UAGGGAAUCUUCGGCAAUGGACGAAAGUCUGACCGAGCAACGCCGCGUGAGUGAAGAAGGUUUUCGGAUCGUAAAACUCUGUUGUUAGAGAAGAACAAGGACGUUAGUAACUGAACGUCCCCUGACGGUAUCUAACCAGAAAGCCACGGCUAACUACGUGCCAGCAGCCGCGGUCAUACGUAGGUGGCAAGCGUUGUCCGGAUUUAUUGGGCGUAAAGCGAGCGCAGGCGGUUUCUUAAGUCUGAUGUGAAAGCCCCCGGCUCAACCGGGGAGGGUCAUUGGAAACUGGGAGACUUGAGUGGAGAAGAGGAGAGUGGAAUUCCAUGUGUAGCGGUGAAAUGCAUAGAUAUAUGGAGGAACACCAGUGGCGAAGGCGGCUCUCUGGUCUGUAACUGACGCUGAGGCUCGAGAGCGUGGGGAGCAAACAGG
rnacentral:rRNA from 1 species